rnacentral:rRNA from 1 species
UACGGGGGGGGUAAGCGUUGUUCGGAAUUACUGGGCGUAAAGGGCUCGUAGGCGGCCAACUAAGUCAUACGUGAAAUCCCUCAGCCUAACUGGGGAACUGCGUGUGAUACUGGAUGGCUUGGAUUUGGGAGAGGGAUGCGGAAUUCCAGGUGUAGCGGUGAAAUGCGUAGAUAUCUGGAGGAACACCGGUGGCGAAGGCGGCAUCCUGGACCAAUAUUGACGCUGAGGAGCGAAAGCCAGGGGAGCAAACGGG